UGGGGAAUUUUGGACAAUGGGGGAAACCCUGAUCCAGCCAUCCCGCGUGUGCGAUGAAGGCCUUCGGGUUGUAAAGCACUUUUGGCAGGAAAGAAACGUCAUGGGUUAAUACCCCGUGAAACUGACGGUACCUGCAGAAUAAGCACCGGCUAACUACGUGCCAGCAGCCGAGGUAAUACGUAGGGUGCAAGCGUUAAUCGGAAUUACUGGGCGUAAAGCGUGCGCAGGCGGUUCGGAAAGAAAGAUGUGAAAUCCCAGAGCUCAACUUUGGAACUGCAUUUUUAACUACCGGGCUAGAGUGUGUCAGAGGGUAGGGGAAUUCCGCGUGUAGCAGUGAAAUGCGUAGAUAUGCGGAGGAACACCGAUGGCGAAGGCAGCCUCCUGGGAUAACACUGACGCUCAUGCACGAAAGCGUGGGGAGCAAACAGG
rnacentral:rRNA from 1 species